rnacentral:rRNA from 1 species
GACGAACGCUGGCGGCGUGCCUAAUACAUGCAAGUUGAGCGCUGAAGGUUGGUACUUGUACCAACUGGAUGAGCAGCGAACGGGUGAGUAACGCGUGGGGAAUCUGCCUUUGAGCGGGGGACAACAUUUGGAAACGAAUGCUAAUACCGCAUAAAAACUUUAAACACAAGUUUUAAGUUUGAAAGAUGCAAUUGCAUCACUCAAAGAUGAUCCCGCGUUGUAUUAGCUAGUUGGUGAGGUAAAGGCUCACCAAGGCGAUGCUACAUAGCCGACCUGAGAGGGUGAUCGGCCACAUUGGGAAGGAGACACGGCCCAAACGCCUACGGGAGGCAGCAGUAGGGAAUCUUCGGCAAUGGACGAAAGUCUGACCGAGCAACGCCGCGGGAGGGAAGAAGGUUGUCGGAUCGUAAAACUCUGUUGGUAGAGAAGAACGUUGGUGAGAGUGGAAAGCUCAUCAAGUGACGGUAACUACCCAGAAAGGGACGGCUAACUACGUG